rnacentral:rRNA from 1 species
GGCGUUCCCGAGUGUUUUAUGGCACUCUUUAAAAUCCAUAUCCACCUUGUGUGCAAUGUUUGUUGGGAAAGUCUUUUUCUUUCCCUUCAUAAAUAUCAACCUAUAUCUUUAACAACAUUCGUCUGAUAACAUAUUAUGAAUAUACUUAAUUCAAAAUAUAACUUUCAACAACGGAUCUCUUGGCUCUCGCAUCGAUGAAGAACGCAGCGAAAUGCGAUACGUAAUGUGAAUUGCAGAAUUCAGUGAAUCAUCGAAUCUUUGAACGCAUAUUGCGCUCUUUGGUAUUCCGAAGAGCAUGCUUGUUUGAGUAUCAGUAAACACCUCAACCUCUCUUUUUUGAUAAAAAAAAAAGGGAGGGUGGACUUGAGCUAUCCCAACGACCUUCACCGGUAGGCGGGCGGCUUGAAAUGCAGGUGCAGCUGGACUUUUAUCUGAGCUAAAAGCAUAUCUAUUUAGUCCUCGUCAAACAGGAUUAUUACUUUUGCUGCAGCUAACAUAAAGGAUAAUUGUCCUCUUUGCUGACUGAUGCAGGAUUUUACGACACUUUAUGUGUUGUUCAACUCGAUCUCAAAUCAAGUAAGACUACCCGCUGAACUUAAGCAUAUCAAAAGCCGGAGGAAU